CCUACGGGAGGCAGCAGUGAGGAAUAUUGGUCAAUGGACGAGAGUCUGAACCAGCCAAGUAGCGUGAAGGAUGACUGCCCUAUGGGUUGUAAACUUCUUUUAUAUGGGAAUAAAACAGGGUAUGCAUACCCUCUUGUAUGUACCAUAUGAAUAAGGAUCGGCUAACUCCGUGCCAGCAGCCGCGGUAAUACGGAGGAUCCGAGCGUUAUCCGGAUUUAUUGGGUUUAAAGGGAGCGUAGGUGGAUUGUUAAGUCAGUUGUGAAAGUUUGCGGCUCAACCGUAAUAUAGCAGUUGAAACUGGCGGUCUUGAGUGCAGUAGAGGUGGGCGGAAUGCGUGGUGUAGCGGUGAAAUGCUUAGAUAUCACGAAGAACUCCGAUUGCGAAGGCAGCUCACUGGACUGCAACUGACACUGAUGCUCGAAAGUGUGGGUAUCGAACAGGAUUAGAUACCCCGGUAGUC
rnacentral:rRNA from 1 species